GAAGCGGCGACAGCUACGACAAGCAGCAGCAGGGUGCUGCUGAAGCGCGGCAUAUUUACUUCUCGAACCGAUCUACACUGUAUUGCGUUCGUGAAUUGCAAGAUGCUUGAUGUACCGCUGUUUAAAGCAGCUCUCAUACAAACGAUAUGCAGGUACGACUGCCGAAUAAAAACUCCGUACAAUUCCAAAAUGCGAAGGCCACGGCCGGCUCUGCGAAGGCCACACGCAUAAUGCUUAUCCCACCAGCACUCCUGGCUUUUGAAAAGGUCAGACCCCUUGGCGCGGCCCGCCGAGGGCUUCACAUUCUGGGCAAGAUAAUCAAGCCGCUUCAGCUCCCGAUCGAAUAUCGCCCGCCCGCGAAUUUUACGCACAUACGCGUCAAGCCCGCGUUCCCGGCUUUUGAGAGCUGGCCUUUGCGCGCCCGGCCGUGGCCUUCGCAUUUUGGAGUUGUACGGAGUUUUUAUUAAGCAGCUUGCAUCACGUUUGAGUGAGAGCUGCUUAAUAAAAACCGUCGUUUGAGUGAGAGGCUGCUUAAUGAAAACCCUCGUUUGAGUGAGAGGCUGCUUAAAGACGCUAACGCGACACCUCGCCUCUUCACGCUUGUCUUUUCAAUGUUUCAUUAUCUAUAAAAGAAAUAUGGUAGUAAUGAAAAGAGAACGAAGGAAGCUGGGGGACGUGUUGAGACAGGGCCCUGGUUAUAACAUGACGACGGGUGAUCGCGUUAAGUCCGCGUUAGCUCGCGUUAGUUCGCGUAACGGUGCGAAUCUUAACGUUAGGUGCGAAUGAGCAUGCUUUUGUAACGCAAAGAGCUAACGCACAACGGCUAUGGAAAAGCGGAAAUCGGCCCUUCUGGCCAAGUUUUUAAAAAUUUAUAAUUUACAGAUUGUAAAGGUUUAUUUGGAAAUAAACUUGCGUCGUUUUGGUCGACUUGAACAAUUCAUCCGUGCGUAUGUUGAAACGCGAAGCAUACGCGCAUGUGUAGCAAGGCGAUACGCAUGCGAUUCCAUAUUGCGAUUCGUGCGUGUGGGGAGACAAUGCGUAAAGCAAUUCGCGUCCACUCGCACAUCAAACGCACACAGUCCGCAAGGCUAUUUGCAUGCGAAUGCAUGUUGCGUAUCAUGCGUAUGAAGGCUGAUUGCGUAAAGCUUAACGCGGCCUAACACUCACCUUACGCACACAUGUCGCAACGCAUUUCGCAUGCUAAUACAUGCUGCGUUUCAUGCGUAUAAAGGCUCAUUGCGUCAAGCUUAAUGCGGCCUAAGCUAACACACAACAAGCACACACAAUUUACCUUUGAUGAAUCGCAUGACAUAACAAUUCACAUGCGAUGUUUUAAGUGUUGUCGCAUACGCAGUUCGUUAACCUUCACGCAGUUUCAUGAAUAACAUGCUUGGCAGCACUCAGGGGGGCCUUCCGCAAACGAAAUCGCAUCAGGCGCAGCCCUACAUCGUACAACAAUUCAUCAUACCAUCAAUAGAUGCCAGAAAGGUGGCGGGACAUGCCGCAUGCGAACGCGCACGCAAUUAGACCCCCGCCGUGAGAUGCGUCGGUGGCUGUGAGGCAGGUGGGGACAUGCCUGGGAGGCUGAAAGGGCUUCCGGACGCAUAAAUCGCACCAGGCGCCGUCGUACGCCGGACCAACGAUGCAUCAUAACAUUAACUAGCUGUUAGAAAGGCGUUAGGAAUAGGAGCAUCCAUACGCGCACGCAAUUAGACCCCCGCCGUGAGAUGCGUCGGUGGCUGUGAGGCAGGUGGGACUUGCCUGGGAGGCUGAAAGGGCUUCCGGAUGCAUAAAUCGCACCAGGCGCCGUCGUACGCCGGACCAACGAUGCAUCAUAACAUUAACUAGCUGUUAGAAAGGCGUCAGGAAUAGGAGCAUCCAUACGCGCACGCAAUUAGACCCCCGCCGUGAGAUGCGUCGGUGGCUGUGAGGCAGGUGGGGACAUGCCUGGGAGGCUGAAAGGGCUUCCGGAUGCAUAAAUCGCACCUAAAGCGCCUAAAGCGAAAUGAUUUAGCACCACCUAUAGAAAUAGAAAUGCACAUGUAUAGAACCAACAGUGCUGCAAGCCGCCAACACCCACGGUCCUGCCUUGCUGGAAUUCCCGGUGUAAUCCGACCUCGAAAUUGCAAUUUAGAAUGGACAACAUUUACAGAGAGCACCUGGCAAGAGCGCGGGGCAAUCCAGAUGGUCCUAUCACUGCUGGCAUGCUCCUAGCCCUCUAGGAGGAUUUCAAGAAGCUCGGAGACCAGAUGCUCGAUCUGGAAAAUGAGCAACAACUCUCCCGCAUGGAGAUGAUCAAUACAGCGAUACUUACCAACGGCGAUAAGAGCUUCGUAUGUCGCAGCCCUACUAUCCCUACGAACGCGGAGGGGGGUUGAGAAACUUAGGAGAAUGCUUAAGAACGAUAAGAACGUCUGAAGAACACGGAGGCGGCGGGUGUGCAUUCUUAAACAUUCUUACACUGGGAUUAAGCGGUUUUAUGUAAGUAUGUCAUAUAAGUAGGGUUGUUGAUUUUAUUAGAAUUUCAGGCGUUCUCUACUAAUUAUAAUAUUAUUUCUAAUUAGAACGUUAGAAAUAAUAUUAGGAGACCUGGGGUAACUUCUCAGGGAGGGGGACUUUUCACUUCGGAGUUUCACCAUGGUUACGGCAGAUGCUAACCCAGGUGUUUUUAACGGUUUUUACGGGGCUACGACACCCGUAAGCAGGACUUCUCAGCCAAACCCCCGGUCGAAGUGACCUCUGGGUCACUAAUUUCGCCUUUAAACUGUCUUAGACUGUCUUAAACUGUCUCUGCGUACGCCUUCCCAACAUCUUUGGUACCUGAACCAAGAGUCCAAGAGUCCAGUCCUAAUUGUCUGCAAAGCAACACCCAACACACAGUCCGGACAUGCCAAACCUGUCGCCCCAAAACUUCUAGAAAAAUCCAUAAGUGUAUGUUGCUUUAGGAGUCUUCGAAACUGGUGGUUUUGAUGGCCCAGCAUCAGCAUCAGCCAUUUUUCCUAGAAAAAUGUGCCGUUGCAGGCUGCGGAGGCGGCCUGAAUAGCCAUUCUAAUGGGUGUACGACAUUAGAACGUCCUAAUCUGUUCUCAAGGGGUCUUCUAACUUUCUCAUUAGAAUUCUAAUUAGUUUAAUUGUAAUAUUAUUUGUAAUUUCUAAUGCACCAACAACCAUACAUAUAAGUAUGCAUUAAGAAUGCAUCAGCCAUGAAAACAUUCUGUAAUGAAUGCCUGAUGGAGCUCUUAUAGUUCCGGAUAGGUAAUAUAUAUCAGUGAUUGCGAAACAGUGAACAUACCAUGAAAUUUCAUGAAAACCAUCAACAUGUGUCUGGGUCUAGACCUUAGAUCUAAUAAUGCGAGAUCUAACAGGUUUAGACCUGUUAGANNNNNNNNNNNNNNNNNNNNNNNNNNNNNNNNNNNNNNNNNNNNNNNNNNNNNNNNNNNNNNNNNNNNNNNNNNNNNNNNNNNNNNNNNNNNNNNNNNNNNNNNNNNNNNNNNNNNNNNNNNNNNNNNNNNNNNNNNNGGAAAAUGAACAAAAAGAGAUUUGGUGGCGUCUUGCGGUUGAUGGGGUGCCUAUGUUAGGAAAUUCCCAUCUUAGGAUGUCGCGCCCAACGAUAUGUGGUUGUGGAGGUUAUCCAAUAGGUUCAGUGGGAGGUGUAUCCCCUCGCUAUCAUCAUUUCUGGGCCUGUCCGGUGGCACAGGCAAUAGCAGAUCAACUUACUCUUUCAAUAGGAUUGCCAGUCUCAAGGGAGCAACUUUGGCUUAUCCAAGCCCCACAAUCAGUGCAACAAUGUGUUUGGGAUGUUGUGGCUCUUGCUGCGGUGUCAGCCAUGGAGCAUGGGAGACGUUAUAUGGCUGCAAACAUGAAAACCAACCCGGCACUGUUACCUGGUCCUUCCCUUACGGAAGAAGCAAUUUGUCGAGUUAUUAUUGAUUUUUGGGGCCGCAUUCAGGGUUUCGCAGCUUUAGGAAUUCCACGAAAAGGUUGGGAAUCCGUUGGCGCACAUCACCCCUUUUUGAGGAUUAUAUCUGGCAAAUUGAUUUGUUCGCGAGAGCGGUUACCGAUGAGAGGUUAAUUAUCUGAGAUGAUAAUCUUUUGGUAUAUUAGUCUCUACUGCAGUGCACGGCCAGCUGGCCCGAUGGCUCUACUCUUCGGGAGUCUGGAGCCCACUGUAACAACCACACACACACACAUCCUUGCAUCCUGGGGGAGUCUUGGCAGGAUGCGUUAACAUUAGGGCUGGGAAUUACGGUUACGGUCCUUACGGAGUUGCGCAUUACACCUUUCGCAAUUACGGUGACCCCCCAAAAGCACAGUAAAAUGACGGUCCUUACGGUGUAAUGCAAUUACGGUUACCAAAAGGUCCAAAUUACGGUCGGACCGCAAGCGUGCGAGCCAAUACCGACGACCACACCUCGAAACAUGCCAUUUCGUCCCUUGGAGCUACGGGAUAGUAUUAAAAAGCUUAUUAUACAUUAACCUAUGAUUAUGGCUGCUUGCAAAACAAAUUGCGGGAUGCGAGGCGAAGUGCAGUCUUGCGUACUGCUGAAGUCGCAAGUCGCAAGUUGCAAGUCGCAAGUUGCAAGUCGCAAGUUGCAAGUCGCAAGUCGCAAGGAACACGCAAAAUUUUCUAUUAUGAUAUUCUAUAUACGCGAAUACGUACGUGUGCAUACUCAGUUUGUAGAGCGGAUCUCACAAUGUUAACUUAACAUGCAUCCUGUCAGUUGGAUACAUCCUACACCCCCUUUCCAUAUCCUAGCUAACUGCCUAACACACGAAGUAACUUAAAUAUCGUUCUUCUUAUCUCACAGAACUAAAGCAAGAGUGUUACAAAAGAUCUUGCAGCAAAGCAACAUAUUUAGCUUACAUCUGUUACAGAUUUGGAAUUUUCGUAAAUGUGACUGUAGUAGCUGGUACACAGUACGGCUCUAUAAAUACGCGCGAAGCAGGACCACCAGCAUCUCGAGAGGCCUUUUCAGCGGCCAGCAACUACAUUUGGUAUCGAGACCUCGUGAAAAUUCACGAUCCUGAAGUCGUCGGUUCAGCCCCCACCAAUCACGCCUGGUGGAAUAUCGGGUUUGGUGACUCAGUGAGCGAUUAUCGCGAUAAUACUGUAGCUGAACCGACUAGACUAUCUCUGUGCCUGAAAAACCUUAAGACGUGGACUGGGCACCCACUGCCCGAGGGUAGGCGAAGGUAGGCACAGGCUGGUGGUAUACGUGGCCGUAAGGACCCGAGACGGAUCCCUUCAAAGGGGGGGGAAUGUAGUAGCUGGUAGACAGUACGGCUCUACAAAUACGCGCGAAGCGCGACCACCAGUAUCUCGAGAGGCCUUUUCAGAGGCCAGCUACUAUAGCGAGCCCGAGCAGCUCAACAGUGGCAGUGAAAUGUCUAUCUUACACCUCCAGAAAGUAUUUGCUAACUUAGAAUCAUCUAUUGAGAAAGCAUUUGCCCCUAGUAUGUAGGUUAAUGCGUGUAGACCACUGGCCCACCAUAACGAAACAGGAUAUAUCCUGAUUUCCUUUCUCUUGAUAUGAUGAGAAAUAUUCGCUGGUGUAAUUAGCGAGUUUAUACACACACCGAGCCUGGGGCCAUGGGCUGGCUCUACAGCCCUGCAAGGCUUGUGUUGGUGAGGCAAUCUUUACAAUUAUACACUCGAAGUGUUUGGUGAACAUGUAUGUUUGUAUGCGUAGACAUGUGAGCUCGAUACAGGCAGAUGCAUGGAUGGAAGUGUAUAGAGAGGCAUGCACAUAUUUUUUUUACAUAAGCGAAAUAGGCAUACGUGCUCACAUAGAUGGAUGAGACAGCUGUGAUAGCAUGUGUAGGCAGGUUGGACAGGGACAUGCUUACAUUCCAUUGACACCAGCAUAUGGCCCGGCAUACGGACAAGGAACACUUGUAAACACGGGUUACCCUGUCUGUUACCCCUCAGUACAAUAAUACCCCGACCCCUUUGUUACCCCUUGGUAAGGGGUUACCCCUACCCCUUUGUUACCCCUUGGUAAGGGGUUACCCCUACCCCGGGGUUAGGUUACCCACCUCCCUUUGUACAUACCCACAUGGGUAACCACUUACCCCUACCCCUACCCCUAACCCUAACCCCUGGGUUAUGCUUAAGGGGGGAUUACCCCUCGUUUUAUGCCAUAGGGAUAGUGUGUUUAGGAUUUAGGAUAGACAGCAAUCGGAUCGAUACUUAUCAGCUGGUGUAAUGUUGUCAUUUAUGAUGAACUUGAUUGUCUUCUUACAUGUGUAAUGUGUAUUUGUUUACGUAAAUACUUGGUACCCAGUGCUUGGUUUAAUACUGAAGUUCUUGAUAAUGAUUAUAAAUGUUACUUCAUAUUUUGUUUGAAGUUCUUGACACACGUUACUUCAUAAUUGCCUGAAGUUCUUCAUAAAUGUCACUUAAUAUUUGUUUGAAGGACUUAGUAUUCGGUACCAAGCGCUUCAAGUACCAUUAUGUGUGUGUGUGUGUGUUACAUGGUUGGGGGUGCGUGACCCCAUACCUGUAAGACUACCCAUACGAGCCGAAGGCCCAAGUACCAUUAGUAUGUAACAUGAUACUAAGUGAUCUACUAAGCGACUUAUUAAGAAUGUUACCAAGUAGCUAUGAAGUAGAUAUGAAGUGGGUAGCACUAAGUUGAUAUCGACCGUGCUGGAGUCAAGUAUUUUGUGACUAGCCAUGAUCUCAUCAUUGCUACCGAAGCACACUUAACGGAUCCAGUGCCAGACAAUGACGUGUCCCUUGAAGGUUUCCGCUUGAUGCGGGUGCAGAGGCCAGGAGACGCCGUACACGCUGACUAUAGAGGGGUUGCUCUUUACGUGCGUGAUACCGUCUCCCAUGGGGUUACCAUUGUCCGGAAGAACAACUGUCUUGCAGGCUGUGAGGUCCUGUGGAUACGUGUCAACCUCCUGUCAGGAAACAGCCUCCCGGUGGGGGCCUGUUACCUUACGCCCGAAGCUUCCAGAGUAUACCCAGCCGGAGGUGCAACUAAUGCACAGCAUGCAGCAGCGGCAGAGGCUACUUUCGCGAGAGUCCAACAAGAUAUUUCCGAGCUCCGGCAGCCGGGGGAGGAUGUGAUGCUUGCCGGUGAUCUAAAUGCCCGUCUAUCCAGUGCACUGCAUGCAAAGCACCGGUCCUCGCCUGCUGACCUGCCCGGGUAUGUUAAUGAUGUUCCAGAUUUAGAUCAGCUGACGGCAAUGCAGGAGUUCAUGGGCUUGCCGGGUGACGCGGACCCUCAGGGCUAUGCAGACGUGCCUGCAUGUAGGAGUGAGGACCUCGUCUGCAAUUUUGUUGGGCACCCGUUGGGUGCCCUGUGCCGAUCACAGGGACUGCUGGUAUUAAAUUGCCGAGGAUUUGGAGGGUCGUCUGACAUUUCCCAAAGGUGAAGCAGGUGGGAGCAUGAUCGAUCUUUUUGUUGGUUCUCCAGUGUUCUCGUACGUUCUCCAGUGUUCUCCGUACGUUCGGACGCGUCCAGCGUUUUUUUAAGUAAUAUAUUAAUAAAAAGAAAUAAACAAACAUUUUGGCCUUUGGAAAAAAAGAAUAAAAUGAGGCCGACCCGUCUGGUGUUAGUGAUGGUGCCGGGGUCGGUGGAGGAAGAGUGCCGGUUCUCGGCAAUGGGGUACUUGCAGGACCCCACCCUUAACCGCCUGGACGAGCACCUAGCAUUGUGUGUGCGAUUUUUUACCCAGGACCUGUUCGACCUGGGCACGUUCCCGUUCCGUGACGCACUGAGAGUGGCUGGACAGCAGCAGCAGGGGCCAGUACGUGAUGAACCGGUAAGAGUCCUAGUGUGCUGUGGUUUGCAGAGGCGGGUGGCGGCCUGUGAUUUGCUAUGCGGUUGCUUGCUUUGGGCCUUUGUUUGGUCGAUUUUACUUAUUGCUCACAAACAGUGCCAGAACUAUCUACGCAUGUGCACGAAGAGUUCACACACGAACGAAAACGCGCCAACUCAGUGCGUGACUCUUGGUCUAUGAGGGGAGUUGUGACUUAUCGUGGGGGGUCUGGGGGGCCCCGGAGCUUCCCCCAGCGCCUCACACUUAAGGAAUAAAUUACGACGACCCUAGCAGCUUUGACAGCCUAUGCAGCUGAGCACAGAAAGAGUCCGACACCGACGCGUACGGCAUCUUGGCCAGCCUUGCUCCGCUCUGGCCAUUGCCCACAAAACCUUUUGUUAGCAUCGUAUUAGUCAUUUAGCUGGUCAUUUGGGACAUUCCGGGGUGUGAGGUGCGGGGCUUCCCUUGGUACUUUACACCGGCUUAAACACUCCUGGUCUAUACCGUGUGUCUGUCACAGGGUUUGGCCCAGGGUAGCCACAGUAAUCCGCUCGCAACAACUGCUUUCAUUUAUGGCGGUGAUGAGCCGGUCUUUCUUCAACUAUUUCAACCAGGACACCCAGGAAAUAAGUGUAUGCAUCCAGCGCUCCAUGCAUGUACGACGGAUAGAACAAUCUAUCUGGACAUUAUAAGAUUCUCAUCAUCAAUCACGGAGGUACAAACUGCUGCACCACCUCAUCCACCACUUGCCAGGAGAUGCCCGGAACCACCCCCAGCGAACAGGCAUUGCUGGCGGCCCGCUGCAAACCACUCAAACUGAAGUCAAUGCGACCCCCGCCAACACAUGCCUCGCAGCCGUCCCACACGAAGAAGCUACCACCGUUCGGAGCCGUCACAGGAACGCCAUUCUUGAACACCAGGACUUUUUUGCCACACAGCCUGGCACGAUUUGCUGACAGCACAUUGCGGUCAAUGGCAAUGACGUUAUUAGUGUUGAGCUGAGCGAGAGUCUUGUAGGUGGGUGCAGACGGGUUAUAGCUGGCACAAUAGGGGUAGCCGUUGUUCUCUGGGAAGCCGCCGGGGUUUUGGGGGCACGUGGUGCGCAGGUCGUAGUAGUAGGUGCCACUGCCUGAUCCCGAGUAAAGGACUUUGCUACCACCACUGCAUGGGCGGCGGGGGACAGAUCGGGGCGAAGUGUGACGGGCAGGGUGGUGUACACACGCUUGGGGGGUUAUUAGUAGUCUAAUAGUAGCUAGACUCUGUCACAGAAGCAACAACAGCAAGCAGAGCGUGUCGAGUUCGUACACGCACCCUCGGAGACAGGCAUGCAGAGGGCACAUGGCUGCACGUGCAGUACUGAUCCCAUCUACCUUCGCAGAGGUUCCUAUCGCACGUACAUAUGCCACAUAUACCGUGCUGAGGACAGUCCGGACAGCUAGCCGGCAGGGGGAAGACAGGGGACCUGACGACACACAUGCAUGUGUGUUAUGCAUGUGUGCGUAUAUGGUACAUACCCUUGCGGUGCAGGGCCAUUGCUGCCGCAUGGCACAUUGAUGACCUGGCCAACUUGCAGCCUGGCGGGGUUAACUCCCGGGUUCAAGGACUGAAUGACGUCCACGGUGGUGCCGCGCCGCUGAGCGAUGGCCCAAAAGGUGUCACCAGGCUGGAUGGUGUACGUGCAGCCUGUGUAAAUUGAGUGAGGCAAGGGAAACACCCUACUUAAGCAAGUGCAGCGCCGCUGUGGCUCAUUCGAUCAUCACAUACAAGUUGGGUGUCGGCUUCCUCGAAAAAGGGCGGGGCCCCUCUGCAUCGUACAGGCCGGUAGCUACAGUGGCACGUGUCACAAUUGAUGGGUAGUGUCAACGCGGUGGGAGAUGUGCUUUGUUGCAGCAGUGCUGAUGGUGUGAGAGCUAAGCUUGCACCGGCGGAAUCGUCAGCACCGCCUGAGGGCUCCACGCGAAUCACAUCCAUUCCGGGUGCAUGCCGCAUGGACAGUGCGGCAGACCGCAAGUCGGAAUGUCCGUGCGGGCAAAUGGUAACGAAAGCUGGGUGAAUUUCGGUGCUGUCUGUGAUGUUUAUCCCCGAAGCGCCAGCGGCCUCAGCAAUCCGCCCCACAGCCGCGGGCUUCAUCAGGGCACACCGCAAGUCUCAGGAGGCCCCGUGCAUUGGCCAAAGUAAAUGUACAAACAAGCAGCUUGUGUAUUUCAUAGAGGAAUGAAAGCAAAUUAUGUUGGCCUGCUGGUGGCAAGUCGGAUUGCCCAUGCCGGCAAAUGGUAACACAAGCUGGGUGUUCGAGUUAUCACACGCCGUCAUCUCAGAAUUCCAUUGUGAGAUACGCGGCAGCUCUCGGGAUGAAAUUUAGCGCGAGAGGCGUUGAUGUGACUUUUGAGGUCGGUGAAUGGAGGCAGCUAAACUUGUUUGUGCUCAUACGGUCUUUGUUAGCUACAUGCGAGAUACCUUGCAAAGAGAAUGCUGUAUAGUACCGAUAACGCGUUUCAGCCGGGUGAAAUAUUAUGUUUGGUCCGUUACACACUCAAGGCCUGGGAGUUCGAGUUAUCAUACGCCGUCAUCUAAGAAUUCAAAUAUGAGAUACGCGGUACCUUUUGAGAUUAAAUUUAGCGCGAGAGGCGUUGAUGUGACUUUGGCCUCGGUCAAUUGAGGCAGCCAAACUUGUUUGUGCUCAUACGAUUUUUGUUGGCUACAUGCGAGAUACCUUGCAAUAGAGAAUGCUGUAUAGUACCUUUAACGCGUUUCAGCCGGGCGAGAUAUUAUGUUUGGUCCGUUACACACACACACACACACACACACACACACACACACACACACACACGGACAUGGGCAAUCCUACAGGUCGGGGCCCCCCUGGGCGCUUCGCGCUGGGGCCCCGCCCAAAAAUAUCGCCUCAACACACUUCUGGCCACAGGUCUGCUGCACUUUUCUAAAGUGUGGUGCGUGUGUAGUGACUGCCUGCUGGGUAGAUGGGGAGGAUGCAACAGCAGACGCGCAGCAGCAGGCGUAUGUUCAUUAUGUGUACAACAGCUAGCUUGCAAUCAUGUAUGUGCCGUACUGGACAUAUCCGUCAAUACUACGAUAGCAAGCCAUCGGCGACGGCUUUCGGUUACCAUUUCUCUAUUUUAAUCCUAUGUUUCAUCACUAGCAUAUCAUAGUAUGCAUAUUAUGGGAUGGUGCCAGCGGUUGGACCCAACAGCUAUAAACGAAGUACCGUCCGGUGUUUCUCAGAGGGGGACUUUCGAGUUGAUUAGUUCACUACUGUUUUUAUUUACUCAGCAGCUGGUUCAGGGUUUGCAAAUUCACAAUAAAUUGCUGCGAAGGAUGAUUAUUUUAUUACCUCCUCCCUCUGAAACACUCAACAAACGCAAAAUGCAAGUGGGAUGACACCCAAGAACGAGCUAGCCAUAGGCCUAGGUAAUCCCCUUGUAAACGCUCCUUCGCCAGCUGUGUUCGCAAUAGCACCGCCUCUCAUUGACGAUCGAUCGCCUCCGGACUGCUGGGGAUGACAGACGAUGGCUCCGCCGUCACCACUUCCACACUACUAUUACUUUGACACAAAUCUUAAAAUCUGUAUGUUUUCUGAGUGAAACGAAUUUUUUUGACCAGGCUCGCCCCUUCCCACGGAAGCAAGCACGGCUUUCCUGCCUGCAGGUACCCCUCCGUCUGUACGACCCCUAAGCGGCCGCGGUAAGGCAACUACGCAAGAAAUCCUAAACAGGCAGUCAUGUGUCUAUAUACCUGCACCACCUGCGAGCAAGCAAGUGCAUGUGCUUACCUCUGGCAGGUGGAGCAGUGGAGGUCGGCGUUGAUCUGACCCAGCAGGCACACACGGUACGUAUGGGAUUGAUUAGAGGCACUGUGCUCUUGGUGAUAAGAAAUCGAAUUCCUUAAAACAAAUAAUAAAGUAAUUGGGUUUUUCGGCCCGGGGAAAAAGGAAUGGAUUCACGUCGCUCUGGCUGCCCACACAAGCUCAUUCCUUUUGGCCAUAGGUGGCCUGAAAGUCGUGUCCGGAAAUGCAUUAAUACCAGCACGAAUAGCAGUGAUCAUUAAUAAACCAACUGCACUCGGUAGAUUCUGGAACAUUAGGUGGUCGGCGGUGCUUGCGUGUUACGGUACAAGCACAUGUAGCCUAUGAGCUCCUAUUUCGUGUUUUCCCACGCAGUAAUUUCAUACAUACAUACAUACAUGUGCGUACGUACCCUCCUCCUCCUGAGCACGGCACAUUGAUGACCUGGCCGACUUGCAGCCUGGUGGGGACAACUCCCGGGUUCAAGGACUGAAUGACGUCCACGGUGGUGCCGCGCCGCUGAGCGAUGGCCCAAAAGGUGUCACCAGGCUGGAUGGUGUACGUGCAGCCUGCGUAAAUUGAGUGAGGCAAGGGAGACACCCUACUUAAGCAGGAGCAGCGCCGCUGCGGCUCAUUCGAUCAUCACAUAAAAUAUCGCCUCAACACACUUGUGCCCACAGGUCUGCUGCACUUUCCUAAAGUGUGGUGCGUGUGUAGUGACUGCCUGCUGGGUAGAUGGGGAGGAUGCAACAGCAGACGCGCAGCAGCAGGCGUAUGUUCAUUAUGUGUACAACAGCUAGCUUGCAAUAAUGUAUGUGCCGUACUGGACAUAUCCGUGAAUACUACGAUAGCAAGCCAUCGGCGACGGCGCUCGGUUACCAUUUCUCUAUUUUAAUCCUAUGUUUCAUCACUAGCAUAGCAUAUCAUAGCAUGCAUAUUCAUCUAUGGAAUGUUGCCACGUUUAGAGCUUGCAUAACCCAUCUGCAUAACAAAAUGUACAGUACAGAGCGGAGAGCUGAUCACUUGUCGGUUGCAGAGUGCGUUUCCUCCUUUCUGUCCCUAGGGCAUUAAAUUUAACUAUGUUAUAAUGUUCUCUAUCUGAUUUGUAAAUGGUCAUGAAGCCGCAUCCUUUGACAUGAUGAGUCCAACAGCCGACGUCGUUGGUUUCCAGUUGGAGCCCAGCCGACGCUCUGGGGAGCCCUCGGCCACAUCGCAACCGCCAAAAUGGAGUCCUCAAAAGCAACACAUACAUUUAGCCAGGCCGCAAAAACAGGCCUGGAAGGCUCCCGGAAGCUGGCAGGUGCAGGUGCCGCUCAGCUGCAUCAAGGUGCUUCAAGGCCCCAAACUACCUUGAAGCGUUAGGAUGGAUAAAAUGAAGAGUGUAGCUGCUGUAUUCUGGGCAUAUUACGGGAUCUGCGCCCGCCGAUCGAUACUUUUCUGACGCCGUGAUACAACUCUAGCACCGCUCAGCACCGCCGAGCAAUCAGUGCAAUCGUAGGUCAGUCGGCAUGCAGAUGUCAACAUAUGAUGUCAACAUUUAACCAUCCCACGUGCAUGCGUGCCGAGGCCUACCUCUUAAAGAGCAGGGCAAAUAUACAGUAUAUACUGACGUGAUGUCGGAAAAGCGAUGUAUGUGAUGGGAUUGAAUGACGGCACACCUACCUGAUGCCAGCAAGCGCCGGCUGCUGUCGCCAUCAGCGGCGCAUGUGUCGACGAUGAACGCGGAAGCGGCGACAGCUACGACAAGCAGCAGCAGGGUGCUGCUGAAGCGCGGCAUAUUUACUUCUCGAACCGAUCUACACUGUAUUGCGUUCGUAAAUUGCACGAUGUUUGAUGUACUGCUGUUUGAAGCUCUCCUAGCUGCUUUCAAGUGCGCAGACGCAUUCAACAUUAACCUCAGCGGAAGCUUUUAUGCAGCCCCUUGCAAAAACGUGAUUCAGGGUACGACCUGAAGAAACUGCCCGUACAAAGCAAAAUGCGAAGGCGACGGCGGGCCUCGCAAUUUGUGUAAAAUCCGCGGGCAUGCGAAAUUCGGCUUGGGCGGCUUAAGCGGCUUAAUUAAGCUUGGCAAGCAGAAAUCUUCAGAAUAAAUGAGCUGCUUAAGUGCGAAAAAGCAAAAACAAAGAAAAUAAAGCGAAAACAAAAAGACGGAUAAGGGCCGGGCUCCACUGAUUUGUUUGUUAGCGCGUUUCCAAAUUCCUGAAAAGACGCUAACGCGACACCUCGCCCCUUGACGCUUUUUAUUUCAAUGUUGCAUUACCUAUGAAUGAAAAUGGUAGAAAUGAUAAGAGAACGAAGGAAGCUGGGGCGACGGUGAAGAACGUAGGGCCCGUGUUGAGACAGGGCCCUGGUUAGGACAAAGCCAAUAAACUUUAACGCGAAAAUUUCUUUGCUCUAUUUUGAAUCGGCUUACGCCCAGUCCCCUUUGGAUAUCUCGCCUACGCUUUGAAGUGCUCGCCGCGUUGACUUUCGCUGACAUACAGCAGGACAACCUGCCGUCCCAGUUUCCCACCCCAACUUUGCCCACGCAGCUUUACAGUAUCCUUCAGUCUACAAUGGCGCAGCCCUUGCAGGGUCCGCCCCGUCGCCUCGACGCAUGGCACCAAGGACAUCAGAAGGGGCACCAGCCCGGUUACCAACAGCAAAAGAAUGUCCCCUCGCAUUUUGCUAUUGCAAUGUGCAACAGAAAUGCAGGAUAGGCGCCUUUGGGCGCUAAAAAACGGAAAAGGGUGGUUUCGGGGCGGCAAGCGGAAACGGAUUGGUAGCGGCGCAAUGAUUUUUUUUUCGAAGUUAACAAGCGACUCAGUGGAGCCCCCUGUAAGGAAUACACCAACAUAAAGGAAAGCUCGUGGCACGCGGGAAGAAAGCCGCAAUGUUAAAAAAGGAAACAUUCAAUAGAAAUAAGGACUUCAAUAGUUUGGCUUGCUGAGAAGCUCGGCGACAGGGUCGCAAAGGGCAGCCUUCAUAAGCAGCAGGCAUGGGCAAGGGUGGAGCUGGCCUUCAUCCGACCCCAGAGGAGCCUUGCAAGGUCGCUCGGUUUCUUGUGUAAUCACCAAGCAGUAUUAAACCUGGGCACAUGCAGCUUCGGUCGGCGCGGCAGGCCGAUGAUAGCAGUGUGCUGUUCUCAAGUGCGCAACGGUAGUAUGCUUCAGACGACACAACCACACAAUGGUGGUAUCGAAGGAUACCGAUUGAGACAAGUGUAUUGAAUAAAUAAUCAUCAGUGACUCCACUUGGGCCUCGCGCCGACAAGUCCCCAGUACGACUGGGCGGCGCGGUAACCCUGCCCGGGCGGCCGCCCGCCCGGCCGCCAGGGCGAUGGAUUCAGGGCGAUGACCUGGAUCCUGCACUUUUGGUACAGGGCGAUGGAUGACAUACAACAAAGGUCCCACUUGGCAAGAGAACAUAAGCCUGCCGACUUAGAACAAUUCAGUACUCCUUAAAUGAAUAAAAUGAAUAGAACGCUGCUAAAACAAUCAGUGUUGGAAAAUAUAGAUGGCGCCGCAAUGCUCACCUUCUGAUCCCCAUAAAGCCUUGAGACAGAAAGCAUAAGACAUAAUUGGAUGACGUCCCAGUAGCUUAAGUACUCAGUCCAUUGCUGGCACAUGUACAGCAAGCUGACGUAUGGAUACGCGGGAAGCCCAUGACCCAGUCUCUUGCCGUUUCGGACAUAGGGACCGUAUAGGCGUAAUGCCAGCGUCACGUGGAUAGCGAAGGCUCCCUAUGUGCGGCAUUCUUUGAUAGCGAUGAGCACGCUCGCUAGUAGCGUGCGUCUUUUUACAGACUAUCAGUAGCCGCCGCAGCUAACAGUAGCCGCAAGUAAACUAAUAUCAGUAUUAGUUAGACCUGUAAUCACCGACAGCGGACAUAUAGACAGGUAAUAGUUAGUGACAGUGAAGUUAGCAAAACAGACCAGACGAGCUCACUGCCGACAGUUAUGUGUGUGUGGUUGUUACAGUGGGCUCCAGACUCCCGAAGAGUAGAGCCAUCGGGCCAGCUGGCCGUGCACUGCAGUAGAGACUAAUAUACAAACUAGACAGUUAGGCUACGGAGCUGCAAGCUGUGCAGGCAGCUUACAGGAUACAACACUCUCGAGAGGAGCAUAUGCUAGCAUGUGCUCCUAGCCCUCUAGGGGGAUUUCAAGAAGCUCGGAGACCAGAUGCUUGAUCUGGAAAAUGAGCAACAACUCUCUCGCAUGGAGAUCAUCGAUCUCCAGGGCCGGUUCAGUAAGCUAGGAACCGACCUGAGCGGCAUCACGAUGGACGCUCCUGGAGUGAUCAGCAGCAACCGGUUCUUUUACUCGGACAGCAUCAUCAUCACGUCGGCGAGGUGUCGCGUUAGCGUCUUUUCAGGAAUUUGCAAACGCGCUAACAAACAAAUCAGUGGAGCCCGGCCCUUAUCCGUCUUUUUGUUUUCGCUUUAUUUUCUUUGUUUUUGCUUUUUCGCACUUAAGCAGCUCAUUUAUUCUGAGGAUUUCUGCUUGCCAAGUUUAAUUAAGCCGCUUAAGCCGCCCAAGCCGAAUUUCGCAUGCCCGCGGAUUUUACACACAUUGCGAGGCCCGCCGUCGCCUUCGCAUUUCGCUUUGUACGGGCAGUUUCUUCAGGUCGUACCCUGAAUCACGUUUUUGCAAGGGGCUGCAUAAAAGCUUCCGCUGAGGUUAAUGUUGAAUGCGUCUGCGCAUUUGAAAGCAGCUAGGAGAGCUUCAAACAGCGGUACAUCAAACAUCGUGCAAUUUACGAGCGCAAUACAGUGUAGAUCGGUUCGAGAAGUAAAUAUGCCGCGCUGCAGCAGCACCCUGCUGCUGCUUGUCGUAGCUGUCGCCGCUUCCGCGUUCAUCGUCGACGCAUGCGCCGCUGAUGGCGACAGCAGCCGGCGCUUGCUGGCAUCAGGUAGGUGUGCCGUCAUUCAAUCCCAUCACAUACAUACGCUUUUCCGACAUCACGUCAGUAUAUACUGUAUAUUUGCCCUGCUCUCUAAGAGGUAGGCCUCGGCACGCAUGCACGUGGGAUGGUUAAAUGUUGACAUCAUAUGUUGACAUCUGCAUGCCGACUGACCUACGAUUGCACUGAUUGCUCGGCGGUGCUGAGCGGUGCUAGAGUUGUAUCACGGCGUCAGAAAAGUAUCGAUCGGCGGGCGCAGAUCCCGUAAUAUGCCCAGAAUACAGCAGCUACACUCUUCAUUUUAUCCAUCCUAACGCUUCAAGGUAGUUUGGGGCCUUGAAGCACCUUGAUGCAGCUGAGCGGCACCUGCACCUGCCAGCUUCCGGGAGCCUUCCAGGCCUGUGGGUUUUUGCGGCCUGGCUAAAUGUAUGUGUUGCUUUUGAGGACUCCAUUUUGGCGGUUGCGAUGUGGCCGAGGGCUCCCCAGAGCGUCGGCUGGGCUCCAACUGGAAACCAACGACGUCGGCUGUUGGACUCAUCAUGUCAAAGGAUGGGGCUUCAUGACCAUUUACAAAUCAGAUAGAGAAGAUUAUAACAUGGUUAAAUUUAAUGCCCUAGGGACAGAAAGGAGGAAACGCGCUCCGCAACCCGACAAGUGAUCAGCUCUCCGCUCUGUACUGUACAUUUUGUUAUGCAGAUGGGUUAUGCAAGCUCUAAACGUGGCAACAUUCCAUAGAUGAAUAUGCAUGCUAUGAUAUGAUAUGCUAGUGAUGAAACAUAGGAUUAAAACAGAGAAAUGGUAACCGAGCGCCGUCGCCGAUGGCUUGCUAUCGUAGUACUGACGGAUAUGUCCAGUACGGCACAUACAUUAUUGCAAGCUAGCUGUUGUACACAUAAUGAACAUACGCCUGCUGCUGCGCGUCUGCUGUUGCAUCGUCCUUAUCUACCCAGCAGGCAGUCACUACACACGCACCACACUUUAGAAAAGUGCAGCAGACCUGUGGGCACAAGUGUGUUGAGGCGAUAUUUUAUGUGAGGAUCGAAUCAGCCACAGCGGCGCUGCUCCUGCUUAAGUAGGGUGUCUCCCUUGCCUCACUAAAUUUACGCAGGCUGCACGUACACGUACACCAUCCAGCCUGGUGACACCUUUUGGGCCCUCGCCCAGCGGCGCGGCACCACCGUGGACGUCAUUCAGGCCUUGAACCCGGGCGUUGUCCCCACCAGGCUGCAAGUCGGCCAGGUCAUCAAUGUGCCGUGCUCAGGAGGAGGGUACGUACGCAUGUAUGUAUGUAUGUAUGAAAUUACUGCGUGGGAAAACGAAAUAGGAGCUCAUAGGCUACAUGUGUGUGUGUGUUACAUGGUUGGGGGUGCGUGACCCCAUACCUGUAAGACUACCCAUACGAGCCGAAGGCCCAAGGGCAAUACUACAACGCCUAAAAGCCACGGAGAAAAGGAAAAAAAAAGGCUACAUGUGCUUGUACCGUAACACGCAAGCACCGCCGACCACCUAAUGUUCCAGAAUCUACCGAGUGCAGUUGGUUUAUUAAUGAUAACUGCUAUGAGUGCUGAUAUUAGUGCAUUUCCGGACACGACUUUCGGGCCACCUAUGGCCAAAAGGAAUGAACUUGUGUGGGCGGCCAGAGCGACGUGAAUCCAUUCAUUUUUCCCAAGUCCGAAAACCCCAAUUUAUUUCUUAUUUUAUUGAAUCUGAUUUCUUGUCACUAAGAGCACAGUGCCUCUAAUCAAUCCCAUACGUACCGUGUGUGCCUGCUGGAUCAGAUCAAUGCCGACCUCCACUACUCCAGCUGCCAGAGGUAAGCACAUGCACUUGCUUGCUCGCAGGUGGUGCAGAUAUAUAGACACAUGACUGCCCGUUUAGGAUUUCUUGCGUAGUUGCCUUACUGCUUAGGGGUCGUACAGACGGAGGGGUAGGAAAGUUGUGCUUUUGCUUCCGUGGGAAGGGGCGAGCCUGGUCACAAAAAAUUCGUUUCACUCAGAAAACAUACAGAUUUUAAGAUUUGUGUCAAAGUAAUAUUGUCAGAAAGAGGUGGAAUAGAUAGUAGUGUGGAAGUGGUGACGGCGGAGCCAUCGUCUGUCAUCCCCAGCAGUCCGGAGGCGAUCCAUCGUCAAUGAGAGCGCGGUGCUAUUGCGAACACAGCUGACGAAGGAGCGUUUACAAGGGGAUUACCUGGGCCUAUGGCUAGCUCGUUCUUGGGUGUCAUCCCACUUGCAUUUUGCGUUUGUUGAGUGUUUCAGAGGGAGGAGGUAAUAAAAUAAUCAUCCUUCGCAGCAAUUCUAUUGAAUCUGCAAACCCUGAACCAGCUGCUGAGUAAAUUAAAACAGUUAUGAACUAAUCAACUCGGAAGUCUCCCUCUGAGAAACACCGGACGGUACUUCGUUUAUAGCUGUUGGGUGCGACCGCUGACACCAUCCCAUAAUAUGCAUACUAUGCUAUGCUAGUGAUGAAACAGAGAAAUGGUAACAGAACGCCGUCGCCGAUGGCUUGCUAUCGUAGUAUUGACGGAUAUGUCCAGUACGGCACAUACAUUAUUGCAAGCUAGCUGUUGUACACAUAAUGAACAUACGCCUGCUGCUGCGCGUCUGCUGUUGCAUCCUCCCCAUAUACCCAACAGGCAGUCACUACACACGCACCACACUUUAGGAAAGUGCAGCAGACCUGUGGGCACAAGUGUGUUGAGGCGAUAUUUUAUGUGAGGAUCGAAUGAGCCGCAGCGGCGCUGCACUUGCUUAAGUAGGGUGUUUCCCUUGCCUCACUCAAUUUACACAGGCUGCACGUACACCAUCCAGCCUGGCGACACCUUUUGGGCCCUUGCCCAGGGGCGCGGCACCACCGUGGACGCCAUUCAGGCCUUGAACCCGGGCGUUGUCCCCACCAGGCUGCAAGUUGGCCAGGUCAUCAAUGUGCCAUGCGGCAGCAAUGGCCCUGCACCGCAAGGGUAUGUACCAUAUACGCACACAUGCAUAACACACCUGCAUGUGUGUCAUCAGGUCCCCUGUCUUCCCCCUGCCGGCUAGCUGUCCGGACUGUCCUCAGCACGGUAUAUGUGGCAUAUGUACGUGCGAUAGGAACCUCUGCGAAGGUAGAUGGGAUCAGUACUGCACGUGCAGCCAUGUGCCCUCUGCAUGCCUGUCUCCGAGGGUGUGUGUACGAACUCGACACGCUCUGCUUGCUGUUGUUGCUUCUGUGACAGAGUCUAGCUACUAUUAGACUACUAAUACCCCCCAAGCGUGUGUACACCACCCUGCCCGUCACACUUCGCCCCACUCUGUCCCCCACUGCCCGCGCAGUGGUGGUAGCAAAGUCCUUUACUCGGGAUCGGGCAGUGGCACCUACUACUACGACCUGCGCACCACGUGCCCCCAAAACCCCGGUGGCUUCCCAGAGAACAACGGCUACCCCUAUUGCGCCAGCUAUAACGCGUCUGCACCCACCUACAAGACUCUCGCUCAGCUGGGCAGUAAUAACGCCAUUGCCAUUGACCGGAAUGUGCUGUCAGCAAAUCGUGCCAGGCUGUGUGGCAAAAAAGUCCUGGUGUUCAAGAAUGGCGUUCCUGUGACGGCUCCGAACGGUGGUAGCUUCUUCGUGUGGGACGGCUGCGAGGCAUGUGUUGGCGGGGGUCGCAUUGACUUCAGUUUGAGUGGUUUGCAGGGGGCCGCCAGCAAUGCCUGUUCGCUGGGGGUGGUUCCGGGCAUCUCCUGGCAAGCGGUGGAUGAGGUGGUGCAGCGGUUUGUACCUCCGUGAUUGAUGAUGAGAACCUUAUAAUGUCCAGAUAGAUUGUUCUAUCCGUCGUACAUGCAUGGAGCGCUGGAUGCAUACACUUAUUUUCUGAGUGUCCUGGUUGAAAUAGUUGAAGAAAGACCGGCUCAUCACCGCCAUAAAUGAAAGCAGUUGUUGCGAGCGGAUUACCGUGGCUACCCUGGGCCAAACCCUGUGACAGACAACGGUAUAGACCAGGAGUGUUUAGGCCGGUGUAAAGUACCAAGGAAAGCCCCGCACCUCACACCCCGGACCGUCCCAAAUGACCAGCUAAAUGACUAAUACGAUGCUAACAAAAGGUUUUGUGGGCAAUGGCCAGAGCGGAGCAAGGUUGGCCAAGAUGCCGUACUCGUCGGUGUCGGACUCUUUCUGUGCUCAGCUGCAUAGGCUGUCAAAGCUGCUAGGGUCGUCGUAAUUUAUUCCUUAAGUGUGAGGCGCUGGGGGAAGCUCCGGGGCCCCCCAGACCCCCCACGAUAAGUCACAACUCCCCUCAUAGACCAAGAGUCACGCACUGAGUUGGCGCGUUUUCGUUCGUGUGUGAACUCUUCGUGCACGUGCGUAGAUAGUUCUGGCACUGUUUGUGAUCAAUAAGUAAAGUUGACCAAGCAAAGGCCCAAAGCAAGCAACCGCAUAGCAAAUCACAGGCCGCCACCCGCCGCUGCAAACCACAGCACACUAGGACUCUACCGGUUCAUCACGUACCGGCCCCUGCUGCUGCUGUCCAGCCACUCUCAGUGCGUCACGGAACGGGAACGUGCCCAGGUCGAACAGGUCCUGGGUAUACAUCCGCACACACAGUGCCAGGUGCUCGUCCAGGCGGUUGCGGGUGGGGUCCUGCAAGUACCCCAUUGCCGAGAACCGGCACUCUUCCUCCACCGACCCCGGCACCAUCACUAACACCAGACGGGUCCGCCUCAUUUUAUUCUUGCCAAAAUGCCUGUUUAUCCCUUUUAAGUAAUAUAUUACUUAAAAAAAACGCUGGAUGGAGAACACCGGCCGAACCAACAAAAAGAUCGAUCAUGCUCCCACCUGCUUCACCCUUGGGGAAGGUCAGACGACCCUCCAAAUCCCCAGAAACACGGCAAUUUAAUACCAGAAGUCCCUGUGAUCAGCACAGGGCACCCAACGGGUGCCCAACAAAAUCGCAGACGAGGUCCUCACUCCUACAUGCAGGCACGUCUGCAUAGCCCUGAGGGUCCGCGUCACCCGGCAAGCCCAUGAACUCCUGCAGUGCCGUCAGCUGAUCUAAAUCUGGAACAUCAUUAACAUACCCGGGCAGGUCAGCAGGCGAGGACCGGUGCUUUGCAUGCAGUGCACUGGAUAGACGGGCAUCUAGAUCACCGGCAAGCAUGACAUCCUCCCCCGGCUGCCGGAGCUCGGAAAUGUCUUGUUGGACUCUCGUGAAAGUAGCCUCUGCUGCUGCUGCAUGCUGUGCAUUAGUUGCACCUCCGGCUGGGUAUACUCUGGAAGCUUCGGGCGCAAGGUAACAGGCCCCCACCAGGAGGCUGUUUCCUGACAGGAGGUUGACACGUAUCCACAGGACCUCACAGCCUGCAAGACUGUUGUUUUUCCGGACAAUGGUAACCCCCUGGGAGACGGUAUCAUGCACGUAAAGAGCAACCCCGCCAUAGUCAGCGUGUACGGCGUCUCCUGACCUCUGCACCCGCAUCACGCGGAAACCUUCAAGGAACACGUCACUGUCUGGCACUGCAUCCGUUAAGUGUGCUUCGGUAGCAAUGAUGAUCACAUGGCUAGUCACAAAAUACUUAACUCCAGCAUGGCCAAGUUUUAUGACCCCUGUCUCCGGCAACCCAUAGACAUUCCACAACAAAACCUUCAAUCCUCUUUGCCCUGGGCUCGCGUUAUCCUAGUAUCCACUUCAGCAGGCAGGCCUGCAAACCGGUCAGCACUAGUAUGCUCGCCAGCCUGGUCAUGAGGUCGGUUAUCAGCUCUGCUGCUGGGCCCUGCAUGUCCCUCCCGGCUUCUAAUUGUUCCCUUGUCAACCCCAGAGCUUCAACUCCCACCACGGCUGUCUCGAUCCUGGUCCUUUGCACUCCUCCGCCCAGAGUGAAGCCGUCAAUGUCCAUGGUGGGGCCGGUGGCAAAGCUGGGCCUCGAAUCCCGAGGUGCUGGUGCCUGGUUUCGGGACUGGUCAAGCCUUCUAGGUGAUGCUGAGUACAUGAGCCUGUAUACUGGCUCUGUGCGUGGGUAUUUGCCUCCUUUUGCCUUUACUGCACUCAGUGAAGCCACGUGUGUUUCUCGGAUCUUCAUACCCAGCUGCUGUCUGUAAGACGGUGGAGCUGGUGGUGGGGCGGCUGGUGAUGAUGCCAUUGGCAUGGGAGGUGGUGGUGGCGGUGGUGGUGGUGGUGGCAUGCUGCCACCGGCAGCGGCACCACUGCUACCAGUAACACCGACUCCGCCUGUAUGGCCCUCAGAAGGCAUAUUUACAGCGUCGUCAUCAUUCUCAGCAUCCAUUCUCCGCCUUCUCCACCAUCGCUGUCGUCGUCACUGUACUGACUUGGGUAUGGCACCGGUGCUCCCCCGUUCGGUCUCUUCUUGUAAUACAGCUCCGCCCCGUUACACCACAUGGGGAUCCACUGCUUCACCUUAAUCACCUGCCACAUGGGCCGUAGCCUUGACCUUUCAGCACGCACUUCCUUGGUGAGCGAGUCGUCUACCCGAAGACCCAACCUUUUCAGGUCAGGUGCAGCAUUAAAGUAUUUGGACCGGUCUUUCCACCUGAUGUCAAUGAACCAGCUCUUCGUGUUGCGAUCUGGCCUCUCAAUAUGAGUGAGAAGACCGCUUGGCCAUUGCCCACAAAACCUUUUGUUAGCAUCGUAUUAGUCAUUUAGCUGGUCAUUUGGGACGGUCCGGGCUGUGCGGUGCGGGGCUUUCCUUGGUACUUUACACCGGCCUAAACACUCCUGGUCUAUACCGUGUGUCUGUUACAGGGUUUGGCCCAGGGUAGCCACAGUAAUCCGCUCGCAACAACUGCUUUCAUUUAUGGCGGUGAUGAGCCGGUCUUUCUUCAACUAUUUCAACCAUGACACUCAGGAAAUAAGUGUAUGCAUCCACGCAUGUAUCCAUGCAUGUACGACGGAUAGAACAAUCUAUCUGGACAUUAUAAGGUUCUCAUCAUCAAUCACGGAGGUACAAACUGCUGCACCACCUCAUCCACCACUUGCCAGGAGAUGCCCGGAACCACCCCCAGCGAACAGGCAUCGCUAGCCGCCCGCUGCAAACCACUCAAACUGAAGUCAAUGCGACCCCCGCCAACACAUGCCUCGCAGCCGUCCCACACGAAGAAGCUACCACCGUCCGGAGCCGUCACAGGAACGCCAUCCUUGAACACCAGGAUCUUUUUGCCACACAGCCCGGCACGAUUUGCUGACAGCACAUUGCGGUCAAUGGCAAUGACGUUAUUACUGCCCAGCUGAGCGAGAGUCUUGUAGGUGGGUGCAGACGGGUCAUAGCUGGCGCAAUAGGGGUAGCCGUUGUUCUCUGGGAAGCCGCCGGGGUUUUGGGGGCACGUGGUGCGCAGGUCGUAGUAGUAGGUGCCACUGCCUGAUCCCGAGUAAAGGACUUUGCUACCACCACUGCAUGGGCGGCGGGGGACAGAGUGGGGCGAAGUGUGACGGGCAGGGUGGUAUGCACACGCAUGGCGGUUUCUUAGCAAUUUAAUAGUAGCUAGACUCUGUCACAGAAGCAACAACAGCAAGCAGAGCGUGUCGAGUUCGUACACGCACCCUCGGAGACAGGCAUGCAGAGGGCACAUGGCUGCACGUGCAGUACUGAUCCCAUCUACCUUCGCAGAGGUUCCUAUCGCACGUACAUAUGCCACAUAUACCGUGCUGAGGACAUUCCGGACAGCUAGCCGGCAGGGGGAAGACAGGGGACCUGAUGACACACAUGCAUGUGUGUUAUGCAUGUGUGCGUAUAUGGUACAUACCCUUGCGGUGCAGGGCCAUUGCUGCCGCAUGGCACAUUGAUGACCUGGCCAACUUGCAGCCCUGCAGGGUCAACUCCCGGGUUCAAGGACUGAAUGGCGUCCACGGUGGUGCCGCGCCGCUGAGCGAUGGCCCAAAAGGUGUCGCCAGGCUGGAUGGUGUACGUGCAGCCGCUGCCGCUGCUUGGUGCUGCUGAAUUGAAUUGAAUUGGGGGAACAAGCAAAUGCAAAGGAGACAUAAAGGGGCAAUCACAUCCUACGUAUGUAGGCCAGUCAGCUAGCAACCUUGCUUCAUGUAGUCACGGCCUUGCGGCAGCUGUGGAAAAUAUAAAUAAAUGAUCAGUCCUGCAGGGUAGGUGUAUUGCCGUAGGUCACAGGUGCGUGAUCACCAGAACCAAAGCUGCACUUUCGACACAAUGCAUGACGCGCCAGUUGGAAACCAGCCUGGCAGGGAUUCAUCUCUGUAUUGCCUAGUGUAAUGUUAGUGAAUUUUAUUAAAUUUUAGUAAAAUACAACAGCGCAGCCUCAGCGGUCGCACCCAACAGCUGUAAAGAAAGUACCGUCCGCUGUUUCUCAGAGGGGGACUUUCGAGUUGAUUAGUUCACUAAUGUUUUAAUUUACACAGCAGCUGGUUCAGGGUUUGCAGAUUUACAAUAGAAUUGCUGCGAAGGAUGAUUGUUUUAUUACCUCCUACUUCUGAAACACUUCAACAAACGCAAAUGCCAAUGAGAUGCACCCAAGCACGAGCUAGCCAUAGGCCUAGGUAAUCCCCUUGUAAACGCUCCUUCGUCAGCUGUGUUCGCAAUAGCACCGCGCUCUCAUUUACGAUGGAUCGCCUCCGGACUGCUGGGGAUGACAGACGAUGGCUGCGCCGUCACCACUUCCACACUACUAUCUAUUCCGCCUCCUCCUGACAAUAUUCCCUUAGCACAAUUAAUAUUUAAACGGGCAGUCAUGUGUCUAUAUAUCUGCACCACCUGCGAGCAAGCAAGUGCAUGUGCUUACCGCUGGCAGCUGGAGCAGUGGAGGUCGGCGUUGAUCUGAUCCAGCAGGCACACACGGUACGUGCGGGAUUGAUUAGAGGCACUGUGCUCUUGGUGAUAAUUCCUUAAGAAUUCCUUAAAAACUAAUAAAGAUUGGGUUUUUCGGCCCGGGGAAAAAGGAAUGGAUUCACGUCGCUCUGGCCGCCCACUCAAGUUCAUUCCUUUUGGCCAUAGGUGGCCCGAAAGUCGUGGCUGGAAAUGCACUAAUAUCAGCACUCAUAGCAGCUAUCAUUAAUAAACCAACAGCACUCGGUAGAUUCUGGAACAUUAGGUGGUCGGCGGUGCUCAUACAUACAUACAUCGAGUUUGGCACUACACUGAGUUUGGCACUACUGGUAAGGCGCGACCAUUGCUCCCGGGAGAUCCCGGGAUCGAUAACCAUUAGGGUCAAAGUCCUUCCGAUGUUGGAAGGCAUUGCGCCCCUAGUUGACGGUGGUGACCUGGGAUAAAGUUAACCUGCGAGCCGACCAGGAACGGAGUUGCGCCGCUGUCGACCUGGCAGAGUCCGUUGGAUGCUGGUGGUGGGUGCGGAACCUGAGCGAUCCACUGAGAAGUUGACUAGGGUGACUGGAUGAGGGUGCCCGGAAAUACCGGGGAAGGCAGGGUUUCGCAGGGUAGCUGCCACGGGGGAAGAUACACCCCCCUGUUUCACACAUCAUACAUCGAUGUGCAUACGUACCCUCCUCCUGAGCACGGCACAUUGAUGAACUGGCCGACUUGCAGCCUGGUGGGGUCAACUCCCGGGUUCAAGGACUGAAUGACGUCCACGGUGGUGCCGCGCCGCUGGGCAAGGGCCCAAAAGGUGUCACCAGCUUGGAUGGUGUACGUGCAGCCUGCGUAAAUUGAGUGAGGCAAGGGAAACACCCUACUUAAGCAGGAGCAGCGCCGCUGCGGCUCAUCCGAUCCUCACAUAAAAUAUCGCCUCAACACACUUGUGCCCACAGGUCCGCUGCACUUUUCUAAAGUGUGGUGCGUGUGUAGUGACUGCCUGCUGGGUAGAUAGGGAGGAUGCAACAGCAGACGCGCAGCAGCAGGCGUAUGUUCAUUAUGUGUACAACAGCUAGCUUGCAAUAAUGUAUGUGCCGUACUGGACAUAUCCGUCAGUACUACGAUAGCAAGCCAUCGGCGACGGGACGGCGCUCGGUUACCAUUUCUCUGUUUUAAUCCUAUGUUUCAUCACUAGCAUAUCAUAGCAUGCAUAUUCAUCUAUGGGAUGUUGCCACGUUUAGAGCUUGCAUAAUCCAUCUGUUUAACAACACAUGAUGAGUCCAACAGCCGACGUCGUUGGUUUCCAGUUGGAGCCUGUAACGACGCAAAUGCCAAUCUGAGCAUCCCGGGUUACGCCUUUGCUGUGUUACAAUGGUAUCGAGACGGGACCGCACGAAUUCCGAAAUAAACUUCGGGUCGGCGGUUUGAUUCUGGCAACCAGCAAGUCGCAAAUUGGCGAUUUCAUGGUGUAAUGGAUAAACCAGCGCACUGGCGCGAGGUGGGAUGGCUCCUGUGCUCGAAAUAAUGGCCGAGGACGUCCAUUGCUAAGUGGGGGGCAAUGUAACGACGCAAAUGCCAAUCUGAGCAUCCCGGGUUACGCCUUUGCUGUGUUACAGAGCCCAGCCGACGCUCUGGGGAGCCCUCGGCCACAUCGCAACCGCCAAAAUGGAGUCCUCAAAAGCAACACAUACAUUUAGCCAGGCCGCAAAAACCCACAGGCCUGGAAGGCUCCCGGAAGCUGGCAGGUGCAGGUGCCGCUCAGCUGCAUCAAGGUGCUUCAAGGCCCCAAACUACCUUGAAGCGUUAGGAUGGAUAAAAUGAAGAGUGUAGCUGCUGUAUUCUGGGCAUAUUACGGGAUCUGCGCCCGCCGAUCGAUACUUUUCUGACGCCGUGAUACAACUCUAGCACCGCUCAGCACCGCCGAGCAAUCAGUGCAAUCGUAGGUCAGUCGGCAUGCAGAUGUCAACAUAUGAUGUCAACAUUUAACCAUCCCACGUGCAUUCGUGCCGAGGCCUACCUCUUAGAGAGCAGGGCAAAUAUACAGUAUAUACUGACGUGAUGUCGGAAAAGCGUAUGUAUGUGAUCGGAUUGAAUGACGGCACACCUACCUGAUGCCAGCAAGCGCCGGCUGCUGUCGCCAUCAGCGGCGCAUGUGUCGACGAUGAACGCGGAAGCG
rnacentral:lncRNA from 1 species